rnacentral:rRNA from 1 species
CCUACGGGAGGCAGCAGUGAGGAAUAUUGGUCAAUGGGCGCGAGCCUGAACCAGCCAAGUAGCGUGAAGGAUGACUGCCCUACGGGUUGUAAACUUCUUUUAUAAAGGAAUAAAGUGAGGCACGUGUGCCUCUUUGUAUGUACUUUAUGAAUAAGGAUCGGCUAACUCCGGGACAGCAGCCGCGGUAAUACGGAGGAUCCGAGCGUUAUCCGGAUUUAUUGGGUUUAAAGGGCGCGUAGAUGGGUUGGUAAGUCAGUUGUGAAAGUUUGCGGCUCAACCGGAAAAUUGCAAUUGAUACUGGGAGACUUGAGUACAGGUGAGGUAGGCGGAAUUCGUGGUGUAGCGGUGAAAUGCUUAGAUAUCACGAAGAACUCCGAUGGCGAAGGCAGCCUACUAAACUGCCACUGACAUUGAUGCUCGAAAGUGUGGGUAUCAAACGGGAUUAGAUACCCCUGUAGUC